rnacentral:misc_RNA from 1 species
AACGUUGGCAUAGCCUAGCAACGGGGUAGCUUUUCGGGCUUUUCCUCGUAUGCUCUGUUAGCCAGCUGUGUUUCGCCAACAUGGCACCCCCGCGGAUCAUUAGAACACCAUCCGAGCAGCGCGAGCUCAUGAUUAAACGUAAGGAAGCAAGGCGGGCGCGCAUACGUGCCCAGACUCAGGAACAGCGUGAAGCUGCGCGUGCCAAGCACGCUGAGAUUCAACGCCGCAGGCGCCAAAACGCGGCAGUGCGGGAACGCGAGGCAGAGGCAAGGCGACAGCGCCGACAAGACCCUACACUUCGGGAGAAGGAAGCGGCCGAACGUCGUGCCCGCCGUGAGGAUGCAGCAGUGCGGGAACGCGAAGCCGAAAAAAGGCGACAACGCCGACAAGACCCUACACUUCGGGAGAAGGAGGCGGCCGAACGCCGUGCACGGCGUGAGGAUGCGGCAGCGCGGAAACGUGAAACCGAGAAAAGGCGACAACGGCGACAAGACCCCGUGUUUCGGCUGCUUGAGGCCGCCGAACGUCGUGCCCGCCGUGAGGAUGCAGCAGUGCGGGAGCGCGAGGCCGAGGCGAAGCGACAACGCCGACAAGACCCUGAACUUCGCGCGAAGGAAGCGGCCGAACGUCGUGCCCGCCGUGAGGAUGCAGCAGUGCGGGAGCGCGAAGCAGAGGCGAAGCGACAACGCCGGAAAGACCCUGAACUUCGGGCUAAGGAAGCGGCCGAACGUCGUGCACGGCGUGAGGAUGCGGCAGUGCGGGAGCGCGAAGCCGAGGCGAAGCGACAACAACGCCGACAAGACCGUACACUUCGGCAGUUGGAGGCUGCCGAACGUCGGGCCCGCCGUGAGGAUCCGGCAGUGCGGGAACGCGAGGCCGAGGCAAAGCGUCUGCGGCGGUUGAGAGAGCGCAAAGCACUAUUCGGAGGACAGUUCAAUAAUCCAUUUGGAUAUGCCUGCGACGUUUGCCAUCGCCUUGGUUUUAGAGCAGACCUUACGCCUAUCCGCACCCCUCACGUUCCCCUGCUCAGUGCCGAGUUUCCAAACGAAGACGUGCCUUCCUUUAUGCUAUGCUCGAAAUGCCACGGCGCACUGAAAAGUGGCACCGUUCCCGCGCCUUCUCGAAGUGACAUUUGCUUUGAGCCGGCCGUUCCCGCUGAGUUACUUGAAGUCAACUUGGUGUGCAGAAGUGAUGAUGAAGACUCGCAGGUACCCUUGCACAACCUUGCUGAACAACUCAACUCCAAACAAGAGGAUCAAGACGACAAGAAAUCAAACUACUACUGCUAAAUACAGAUAGGGAGCAUGCAAAGAGACGGUGGCGCAGCCCUGGCGGCGCACUGUGGAGAUGUCUCACUUGCUAGCUGUAGCAGACUAUGGUUGACUGUUCCUUGCAGACAGAUGGCACAGGAAAG